AGAGAGUGUUGCAUUUCGGCGCCCAGGCUCAUUUGCACCCGGGCAGGUGCAGCUGAGCUAGGGCUCAGAAGUGGAUUAUCGGAGGUAAGAGUGUAUCACACAAACUGGUUGCUUGCCUUCUAUCAAGAAAAAUUCACGAGUACUCCAAGGUUCAAAUGGCUAAUGUCUGCGAGAUUUGUGGUACUAGUGUAAUACCGUGCACCUUAGAUCAUGAACAAGUACCACAAUUCUGAGUGAUGGUUCGACACAGUCAUCUUUAUGAGAUUAAUAUACUUUGCCAAGGAGUUAAGCAAUUUAGAUACUACAUCGAACAACGCUAUUUCACAGCCGAGACUUCUCAUGGAUCAAGCUACAGGAUGUGUGUGAGAGAUAAUGGAGAUAGAAUUCGUACAAGUGGCAUUGGAUGAGAUUGCUUUUGCUACGACGACGAUAUAAGAAGAGGAGACACGAUAUAUUUUUGCUACAACUGUAGAGAUUUUGUGAUGUAUAUGUCCCUAAUACUUCCAAAUGGUGAACCGAAGGAUAUAAUUAAUGACGUAUUUGACGAAGGAGAAAGACAUGUUGCAUACAGCAAUGAGUUUAAUCUAACACAAAGGCAACGCAACAACAUGCACACUAUAUUACAGACGAAUGAGGACUAUCCUGAGCAGAUCCAUUAUUGCUUUACAGCUACGGACAUGUCUGAUAAUAAUUUGCUUGUAGAGUUCAUCGCUAGCAAAAAGAAUAGUCAACACAACAUGGAAAUAGUUGCAAUUCUCAAACUUACAUGCUGAUGGAGGUCCGGUCAGUGGGGUGACGUAGAGCAAGAUCGAGAGCAUGGGAAGCAGAGGUAUGUAGAGAAACUCCUGUGGGCCGGUCUGAAGAACGGAGAAGGGUCUGAAGAACAGAGAACAUGACACAGCUCCGACCAAGCAGAGCACAAUGGAGAACUUCCAUAGUUCUGAUGUUUGCCUGUCGCGAGCUGUCGCUAUGUAAUUAAGUCAAAAAGUUAAUUAAUUCUCUAAUC